rnacentral:rRNA from 1 species
UUAAAUUGAAGAGUUUGAUCAUGGCUCAGAUUGAACGCUGGCGGCAGGCCUAACACAUGCAAGUCGAACGGUAACAGGAAACAGCUUGCUGUUUCGCUGACGAGUGGCGGACGGGUGAGUAAUGUCUGGGAAACUGCCUGAUGGAGGGGGAUAACUACUGGAAACGGUAGCUAAUACCGCAUAACGUCGCAAGACCAAAGAGGGGGACCCUCGGGCCUCUUGCCAUCGGAUGUGCCCAGAUGGGAUUAGCUUGUUGGUGGGGUAACGGCUCACCAAGGCGACGAUCCCUAGCUGGU